rnacentral:rRNA from 1 species
GACGAACGCUGGCGGCGCGCUUAACACAUGCAAGUCGAGCGAUGAAAUUUCGACAGAUCCCUUCGGGGUGAAGAUGUAAUGGAUUAGCGGCGGACGGGUGAGUAACACGUGAGUAACCUGCCUUUGACAUUGGGAUAGCCUCGGGAAACUGGGAUUAAUACCAAAUGACACUAACUGAUCACAUGAUCAAUUAGUCAAAGAAAUUCGGUCAAAGAUGGACUCGCGGCUGAUUAGCUAGUUGGUGAGGUAACGGCCCACCAAGGCGACGAUCAGUAGCCGGCCUGAGAGGGUGAUCGGCCACAGUGGAACUGAGACACGGUCCAAACUCCUACGGGAGGCAGCAGUGGGGAAUAUUGCACAAUGGGGGAAACCCUGAUGCAGCGACGCCGCGUGAGCGAAGAAGGCCUUCGGGUCGUAAAGCUCUUUUAUGAGGGAAGAUAAUGACGGUACCUCAAGAAAAAGCCCCGGCUAACUACGUG